UACGUAGGUGACCAGCGUUGUCCGGAUUUACUGGGCGUAAAGAGCGCGCAGGCGGUCGUUCAAGUCGAGUGUGAAAGCCCCCGGCUCAACUGGGGAGGGUCAUUCGAUACUGAUCGACUCGAAGGCAGGAGAGGGAAGCGGAAUUCCGUGGUGUGGCGGUGAAAUGCGCGAUAUCGAGGAGAACACAGCAGAGGCGAAGGCUCGCGUCCGCUGG
rnacentral:rRNA from 1 species